AAACUUUCAACAACGGAUCUCUUGGUUCUCGCAUCGAUGAAGAACGCAGCGAAAUGCGAUAAGUAAUGUGAAUUGCAGAUUUUCGUGAAUCAUUGAAUCUUUGAACGCACAUUGCGCCCUCUGGUAUUCCGGAGGGCAUGCUUGUUUGAGCGUCAUUU
rnacentral:rRNA from 2 species